UACGAAGGGGGCUAGCGUUGCUCGGAAUCACUGGGCGUAAAGGGUGCGUAGGCGGGUCUUUAAGUCAGGGGUGAAAUCCUGGAGCUCAACUCCAGAACUGCCUUUGAUACUGAAGAUCUUGAGUUCGGGAGAGGUGAGUGGAACUGCGAGUGUAGAGGUGAAAUUCGUAGAUAUUCGCAAGAACACCAGUGGCGAAGGCGGCUCACUGGCCCGAGUACUGACGCUGACGGUGACG
rnacentral:rRNA from 1 species